rnacentral:piRNA from 1 species
UGAAAUAGAUACAACAGGUAACAGGAUC